AUAAACGAGAAAUAGAGGCGGAAUAGGAGAAGGAGCUAAGAUGUUUGUCGGGUUCCUGAAGAUGCGUCGACGUGUUAUCAUCCACGCAAGCUUCCCCAACCCAGCCAGUGUACCACAGGACGGGAGGAGGAAGCCAGCGGCUGCAUGCACCAUUGAACAGGACGGCAUUGUAUUCCUCCCACAGGAGUGACUACAGCGAAGCAAGCCCAGAAUAAAGUGUUGAGUGACCGUGAUGAUUCAGUACUACUAACACCAAACAAGUGAGGGAAGUGUUCGGAGUGAACGUGCAAGACAUACAACAGACACCAGACUGCUGCCGCUGCUGCUACUGCCGGUGUAGCCAAAGGAACAAAAGGUCCGGAGCAAGAGGAAGAAAUGGGUGAUUCUUGGAAACGCACCAAUGAAGUUGUGAAGGUUGGCCACAAAUCUUCAUCACUGGUGUAGUGUAUUUCAUUGACCAUUUGUAGAUUGGGUGGAUAAACUUGUAGAUUUUGUAGACAGUUGUAGAUGUGUAGCUAGUGGGUAAGGUUUUUUGCAAUGCCUUAUCUACACCAGCAGAAAACAGUGAUAUGGACAACUUGUGCAUAGCAUAGUGAUAGCAGUGUACAGUGUACAUGUAUACCUCUUUUUCUUUUCAAUGAUGUCUCGGGUGUGUUGCCUAGUGCGUUCCCUUGUCCCGCUCGAGAGAGAGAGAGAGAGAGAGAUUCGGAUCACCACCGCGUCGAGCUGCCUGCCCACCUCCCUCCAUUGUCCUUCCCCUCUCACUUGAGUAUUGUGAACGUUGUAUUUAUUUUCAUCACGCCUCUGUGUUUGUAAAGGGAGAGUGUUCCAAUAAGUGAGCUCUGUUUGCAGUCACAUGUGUAUUUCAAAGGUGUUUUGCCAAGUGCUGUGCUGAGGUGUUGUGGUGUAUCUGUCUGUACGGUGUUCGAGCUAGCUUUCGCCCACGUUUGUGACGCUACCUUCCGUACUGCAUUUAAUGUCUGUGGAUUUCCGGUUUUUACCCACUCUCCU